rnacentral:rRNA from 1 species
CACGGGGGGAGCAAGCGUUGUUCGGAAUCACUGGGCGUAAAGGGCGUCUAGGCGGUCAGGUAAGUGGGAUGUGAAAUGCCCCGGCUCACCCGGGGACCGGCAUCCCAUACUGUCUGGCUUGAGUACGGGAGAGGAUGUGGGAAUUCCUGGUGUAGCGGUGAAAUGCGUAGAUAUCAGGAGGAACACCGGUGGCGAAGGCGCACAUCUGGCCCGAUACUGACGCUGAAGCGCGAAGGCUAGGGGAGCAAAC